rnacentral:rRNA from 1 species
CGACCGGCGCACGGGUGAGUAACACGUAUGCGACCUGCCCGUAGCAGGGGGAUAAGCGGAAGAAAUUCCGUCUAAUACCGCGUAAUAUCUUUCGGGGGCAUCCCUGAGGGAUUAAAGGAAGCGAUUCCGGCUACGGAUGGGCAUGCGGCGCAUUAGCUAGUCGGCGGGGUAACGGCCCACCGAGGCGACGAUGCGUAGGGGUUCUGAGAGGAAGGUCCCCCACACUGGUACUGAGACACGGCCCAGACUCCUACGGAAGGCAGCAG